CUUUGCGGACUAUGGAAGUCGCUGCUGCCCUUACACAUCCCAUCCUCUUGACAGCAUCUGGAAUCUGACACUAUGAAACUGGGGCCUAAAUUGCAAUGGUCAUCCCGCGUGGUAGAGAUACAGGGAAUACAGAACGCAUCCUAAGGAAAGCUGAACCCAGUGGAGCCAGCCCAAAGUGAUGCAGCGCCAUCCGGAUGCCACCUCCAUGAAGCCCGCAGGUCGGACUCACAGCAGAGGGACUGGUGUUUGCCUUGCAGCUUUUCUCUCAUUAAUAUUGCCUUUCCAUUCUCAUGCCCUCCCUACUUGAAAAGGGUAUGUUUGCCACCAGCUAUGGGAAGCACGUGACUCGAGCUUCACUUUCACGGUUGCUCGCGGCUAAGACGUAGCUCUGAGUUUCAGAAGAGACUCUGGAUUUGGAUUUCUGAAUGGCGUUGGGACUGUGACCUCAAGAAGACCUGGAUACCGCGAAAAGACCGUGUUUUACCAGAUUCACUGCACCAUUCGAAAUCUUCUGAGAUCAUAAAUAACUGUCAACAUGAUUUCCAGAGAUCCAAGGAAAAGGCACACUUGGGACGAGGGCUGUGUCCUCUUGUCCCCACCCCCAUGUUCCACCCCACUUUCUUUAGUAACCAGCUUUGAGGACAGCUGGUUUUUCUCCCCACGUUUCCCUCAUUAUGGUUAAUUGCAGGAGGAAAGCCAUCGCCAUCGAAAGUAUGGGAUCUGGACUGUACAGAAGGAAGAGAGUCAGAUGGGCGUUCGCUGUUCUCGGCUUCCCGACUGUGACUGCAGCGUGACCAGCAGCCUCCAGCCCUUGCCACCCGGACCCACUUACUGCGAUAGACUGCGCCCUGGAGCUGGGGGCUAAGGAAGACCCUUUGCCGUUCAAGGUGCUCUUACCAGGGUGCUUUACCACAUGAACAGUUACACACGAAAGAUGUAAAUGUGCUGUUGCUCCCUUCACCCUUGCCUCCUCCUGUAGUCAACGCUAAAGCCCAGGUGAUUGCUCAUCAUCACAACACUCCCGUCACCUCCAAAGCCUUCCAGUGAAGUUCAUCAGAGCUUUCUGCAGGGAUGCAAGAAUCCCCUCCAUGCCUUCUCUGUACAGCAUGGAGCCACGAGGUGGCCAUGAGCUGCCCAUCGCUGUGGACACUGAGCACAGGUAGUUAGGGCUGACAUGCCAGGCGGCCCAUUCCCAGUGCCCUCUGGGAGCCCUGAGGAAAAGCAAUCUUUGCAAUAUCUGACACCACCUGUGCCGGUGGUUAGGAUUUUCCCAAUUUGACAUGAGUCAGGCUCCUUUGGGAAGCAGGAACUGCAAUUGAGAAAAUGUCCCUAAUCCGAUUGGCCUGCAGGCAACUCUGUGGGGGCGUUUUCAUGAUUAAUAGCUGAUGUGGGAGGGCCUGGAUCAAUGCUACCCUCCAACAUGGUCCUGAGUAGUAUAAGAAAGCAAACGAACAAGACACGGAGUAUGCUAGUAAGCAGAAUCCUUCCCUGGCCUGUUUCAGUUCCUGCCUGCAGCUUCCUGCCUUGACUUCCCUGCAUGAUGGACUAUAGCCUGUUGGCUGAACUAAACCCUAUCUUCCUGGAGCUGCUUUUGGUCCUGGUCCUUAUCACACCAAUAGACAGCUGAUACACACCCCCUUCUAGGACAAGCUCCCAUCUCUGGCCUCACUUCCUCCCCUUACCCUCCACUCUCUAUCUGCAUGGUCUUCUUGCUUGGCUUUGUCUCUCCCACAUGCUUCUUGCAUUCUCUGCGUUCAGUGUUCUUUCCUUAAAUAUCUCCGUGGCUCGGUUCCUCCUUUGCUUUAAUUGUAGAGUGUAGAACAUUUACAUUUUGUGUGCUUAUUGAUUGAAAUCUAUGCAUUGCCACCUCCGACGUACUGUUUGUUUUCUAUGCAGACCAUCUGUCCCUGGCUUCUUUUUGGGCACCCUAUUUUCUCCUGCUUUUUUGGAUGCUGCUUACUAGUAUACUCUCUCCUUUGAUAGCCUUCUAUCUCUGAUGGCUCUUUGACCUCUGCAUUUUACGUUCUCCAUGGUUGUUUAGGGUUGAUAAUAGUCCUAAAUUGAUCUCAUUCCAGUGUCAGCUCACAUAGUCACCUCCUCGCUGUCACGCUGCAUGUAGAUGCUUCUUCCUGCCCUGUGAGUCACUGUUGUCACCUAUUUCUCUCCUGUAUAUGCCAUGGGUGCCAAACAUUGCAACCAUCAUUCUUGCUUUAAAUAGUUAGCUACAUUUCUGAGAAAAU